rnacentral:pre_miRNA from 1 species
AAUAACCUCAUUUUUCGUUUUUCCAUAUCCAAUAUUUAAUCAUUCGUCUUAUUUGAAAACUUUUUGCGAUUAAUAUUUUUAUUCUUACUAGAUGAUAAAAUAUAAAUAGUAUUUUAUGCGUGAUUAAUUUUUUUAAAUUUUUGUAUAAAUUUUUUAAAUAAGACGAAUGGUCAAACGUUGGAUACAGAAAAAC